rnacentral:rRNA from 1 species
UACGUAGGGAGCAAGCGUUGUCCGGAAUCAUUGGGCGUAAAGCGCGCGUAGGUGGCCCCAUAAGUCCGCUGUGAAAGUCGAAGGCUCAACCUUCGAAAGCCGGUGGAUACUGUGGGACUAGAGUACGGAAGAGGCGAGUGGAAUUCCUGGUGUAGCGGUGAAAUGCGUAGAUAUCGGGAGGAACACCCGUGGCGAAGGCGGCUCUCUGGGACGGUACUGACGCUGAGACGCGAAAGCGUGGGGAGCGAACAGG